CGAUGGAUAUUAGGUUUACAAAGUUGUUCCAAAUCCACAGAUUUUGACAGAUAGACUUUAUGCUACUACAUUUUCGUUAAUUCCAUAACCAAUCUCAGAAACUUUUUCUUUUUCCUCUGUUGUUUAUCAAUGACUACUCUCUGAUUUUCAAGAACCCAUUUUUAUUUCCAUGGCUUUGCCUCAAAUCUUACCUUCUUCUUCUUCUUUCACUCACAAACCCCAGUUAAAUCCUUGUAAUUAUUUUUUUACCCCACUAUCUAAUAACCCUAAGUGUCACUUUACACAACCACUCCUCCAUCGCCGGCGCCGCCGUAAUAACUACACUCUCCGAUGCUCCGCCUCUUCCUUCCCGGAGAAACAUCACACCGGAAGCUCACCCAACUCCGACGACGUUGUUGAGCUCCCGCUUUUCCCUCUCCCUCUCGUCCUCUUCCCUGGCGCAAUCCUCCCGCUCCAAAUCUUCGAGUUUCGUUACCGUAUAAUGAUGCAUACACUCCUCCAAACCGACCUCCGUUUCGGAGUUAUUUACUCCGAUAGUGGAUGAGUUUCGUUACCGUAUAAUGAUGCAUACACUCCUCCAAACCGACCUCCGUUUCGGAGUUAUUUACUCCGAUAGCGCCACCGGCACCGCCGACGUCGGCUGCGUAGGCGAAGUGGUUAAACACGAACGCCUCGUCGACGACCGAUUUUUUCUUAUAUGUAAAGGUCAAGAACGGUUCCGGGUCAGUA
rnacentral:lncRNA from 1 species